GCGGGCGUGGUGGAAUUGGCAGACACGUUGGAUUUAGGUUCCAAUGGUUUUACCGUGCAGGUUCAAGUCCUGUCGCCCGCACCA
rnacentral:tRNA from 1 species